rnacentral:rRNA from 1 species
GAUAAACGCUGGCGGCGUGCCUAACACAUGCAAGUCGAACGCGCUUUGCUUCGGUGAAGCGAGUGGCGGACGGGUGAGUAACACGUGGGUACCUACCUUGAGGUGAGGAAUACCGGCGAGAAAUCGCCGACAAGACCGCAUAGGCUGCUUGCUUGACCGAGCAAGCAGCAAAGCUCUUUGGGGAGCGCCACAAGAUGGGCCUGCGGCCGAUUAGCUGGUUGGGGAGGUAAUGGCUUCCCAAGGCGUUGAUCGGUAGCUGGUCUGAGAGGAUGAUCAG